GGAACGCGAAGAACCUUACCAGGGCUUGACAUAUACAUGAAAGUCUAAGAGAUUAGACCCCUCUUCGGAGCGUGUAUACAGGUGGUGCAUGGUUGUCGUCAGCUCGUGUCGUGAGAUGUUGGGUUAAGUCCCGCAACGAGCGCAACCCCUGUUCUUAGUUACCAGCGAGUUAAGUCGGGAACUCUAAGAAGACUGCCGGUGAUAAAUCGGAGGAAGGUGGGGACGACGUCAAAUCAUCAUGCCCUUUAUGUCCUGGGCUACACACGUACUACAAUGGCUGUAACAAAGGGAAGCUAAGCCGCGAGGUGGAGCAAAACCCAAAAAAGCAGUCUCAGUUCGGAUUGAAGGCUGAAAUUCGCCUUCAUGAAGCCGGAAUUGCUAGUAAUGGCAGGUCAGCAUACUGCCGUGGAUACGUUCCCGGGCCUUGUACACAC
rnacentral:rRNA from 1 species